rnacentral:pre_miRNA from 1 species
UGCAAUGGGUCGCACUGAGACUGAGGCAUGCCUCCCUCAGUGUUCGAGCUUUUGUCUU